rnacentral:SRP_RNA from 1 species
GCUGGGUGUGGUGGUGGGCGCCUGUAAUCCCAGCUAUCAGGAGGCUGAGGCAGGAGAAUCGCUUGAACCCAGGAAGCAGAGGCUGUAGUGAGCUGAGACCACGCCACUGCACUCCAGCCUAGGUGACAGAGCGAGACCCUGUCUCAA